AUGGCCUGGACCCCUAUCCUCCUGGGCCUCUGGGCUUACUGCACAGGAUCUGUGGCCUCCUAUGAGGUCACCCAGCUGCCUUCGGUGUCAGUGUCCCUGGGACAGACGGCCAGGAUCACCUGUGGGGGAAACAACAUUGGUAGCAAAAAUGCUUACUGGUACCAGCAGAAGCCUGGCCAGUCCCCUGUGCUGGUCAUCUAUUAUAGCAAUAACAGGCCCUCAGGGAUCCCUGAGCGAUUCUCAGGCUCCAACUCAGGGAACAUGGCCACCCUGACCAUCAGUGGGGUCCAGGCUGAGGACGAGGCUGACUAUUACUGCGCCACCUACCAUGGCAGUGGGAGCAGCUUUCAGUGA